rnacentral:rRNA from 1 species
UACGAAGGGGGCUAGCGUUGUUCGGAAUCACUGGGCGUAAAGCGCAUGCAGGCGGAUCGUUAAGUCGGGGGUGAAAGCCCGAGGCUCAACCUCGGAACUGCCUUCGAUACUGGCGAUCUUGAGUCCGGGAGAGGUGAGUAGAACUCCGAGUGUAGAGGUGAAAUUCGUAGAUAUUCGGAAGAACACCAGUGGCGAAGGCGGCUCACUGGCCCGGUACUGACGCUGAGAUGCGAAAGCGUGGGGAGCAAACAGG